rnacentral:rRNA from 1 species
UUGACCUCGGAUCAGGUAGGAUACCCGCUG